GACGAACGCUGGCGGCGUGCUUAACACAUGCAAGUCGAACGGUGAAGCGCCUUCCUUUUUGGUUGGUGUGGAUGAGUGGCGAACUGGUGAGUAACACGUUAGUAACCUUCCCCCUUCUUCUGGAUAACCGCAUGAAAGUUUUGCUAAUACGGGAUAUUCUGGGUCUUUCGCAUGAUGGGUCUGUGAAAGUUUUUGUUUCUGUGGGGGAUGGUCUCGCGGCCUUUCAGGUUGUUGGGGGUGUGAUGGCCUACCAAGGCGGUGACGGGUAGCCGGCCUGGGAGGGUGGACGGUAACAGAGGGACUGAGACACGGAGAAGACUACUAGGGGAGGCAGCAGGGGGGAAUAGGGCACAAUGGGAGAAAGCAUGAUGCAGCGACGACGCGGGAGGGAUGGAGGCCGGCGGGUUGUGAACCUCUUUCGGGAGUGAAGCAGGGCUGCCUAGUAUGUGGGUGGGUUGACGGUAGCUGGAUAAGAAGCGCCGGCUAACUACGUG
rnacentral:rRNA from 1 species